rnacentral:rRNA from 7 species
UUAAGCGACUAAGCGUACACGGUGGAUGCCCUGGCAGUCAGAGGCGAUGAAGGACGUGCUAAUCUGCGAAAAGCGCCGGCGAGGUGAUAUGAACCUUUGACCCGGCGAUGUCCGAAUGGGGAAACCCAGUGUGUUCCGACACACUAUCGUUAACUGAAUACAUAGGUUAACGAGGCGAACCGGGGGAACUGAAACAUCUAAGUACCCCGAGGAAAAGAAAUCAACCGAGAUUCCCCCAGUAGCGGCGAGCGAACGGGGAGCAGCCCGGAGUCUGAAUCAGCUUGUGUGUUAGUGGAACGGUCUGGAAAGUCCGACGGUACAGGGUGAUAGUCCCGUACACGAAAAUGCACAUGCUGUGAACUCGAAGAGUAGGGCGGGACACGUGGUAUCCUGUCUGAAUAUGGGGGGACCAUCCUCCAAGGCUAAAUACUCCUGACUGACCGAUAGUGAACCAGUACCGUGAGGGAAAGGCGAAAAGAACCCCGGCGAGGGGAGUGAAAAAGAACCUGAAACCGUGUACGUACAAGCAGUGGGAGCACCUUCGGGUGUGACUGCGUACCUUUUGUAUAAUGGGUCAGCGACUUAUAUUCUGUAGCAAGGUUAACCGUAUAGGGGAGCCGAAGGGAAACCGAGUCUUAACUGGGCGUUAAGUUGCAGGGUAUAGACCCGAAACCCGGUGAUCUAGCCAUGGGCAGGUUGAAGGUUGGGUAACACUAACUGGAGGACCGAACCGACUAAUGUUGAAAAAUUAGCGGAUGACCUGUGGCUGGGGGUGAAAGGCCAAUCAAACCGGGAGAUAGCUGGUUCUCCCCGAAAGCUAUUUAGGUAGCGCCUCGUGAACUCAUCUUCGGGGGUAGAGCACUGUUUCGGCUAGGGGGCCAUCCCGGCUUACCAACCCGAUGCAAACUACGAAUACCGAAGAAUGUUAUCACGGGAGACACACGGCGGGUGCUAACGUCCGUCGUGAAGAGGGAAACAACCCAGACCGCCAGCUAAGGUCCCAAAGUCAUGGUUAAGUGGGAAACGAUGUGGGAAGGCACAGACAGCCAGGAUGUUGGCUUAGAAGCAGCCAUCAUUUAAAGAAAGCGUAAUAGCUCACUGGUCGAGUCGGCCUGCGCGGAAGAUGUAACGGGGCUAAACCAUGCACCGAAGCUGCGGCAGCGACGCUUAUGCGUUGUUGGGUAGGGGAGCGUUCUGUAAGCCGUUGAAGGUGUGCUGUGAGGCAUGCUGGAGGUAUCAGAAGUGCGAAUGCUGACAUAAGUAACGAUAAAGCGGGUGAAAAGCCCGCUCGCCGGAAGACCAAGGGUUCCUGUCCAACGUUAAUCGGGGCAGGGUGAGUCGACCCCUAAGGCGAGGCCGAAAGGCGUAGUCGAUGGGAAACAGGUUAAUAUUCCUGUACUUGGUGUUACUGCGAAGGGGGGACGGAGAAGGCUAUGUCAGCCGGGCGACGGUUGUCCCGGUUUAAGCAUGUAGGCGGAGGUUCCAGGUAAAUCCGGUACCUUAUUAACGCUGAGGUGUGAUGACGAGGCACUACGGUGCUGAAGUGAUAAAUGCCCUGCUUCCAGGAAAAGCCUCUAAGCAUCAGGUAACACGAAAUCGUACCCCAAACCGACACAGGUGGUCAGGUAGAGAAUACCAAGGCGCUUGAGAGAACUCGGGUGAAGGAACUAGGCAAAAUGGUGCCGUAACUUCGGGAGAAGGCACGCUGAUAUGUAGGUGAAGCCCCUGCGGGCGGAGCUGAAAUCAGUCGAAGAUACCAGCUGGCUGCAACUGUUUAUUAAAAACACAGCACUGUGCAAACACGAAAGUGGACGUAUACGGUGUGACGCCUGCCCGGUGCCGGAAGGUUAAUUGAUGGGGUUAGCGGCAACGCGAAGCUCUUGAUCGAAGCCCCGGUAAACGGCGGCCGUAACUAUAACGGUCCUAAGGUAGCGAAAUUCCUUGUCGGGUAAGUUCCGACCUGCACGAAUGGCGUAAUGAUGGCCAGGCUGUCUCCACCCGAGACUCAGUGAAAUUGAACUCGCUGUGAAGAUGCAGUGUACCCGCGGCAAGACGGAAAGACCCCGUGAACCUUUACUAUAGCUUGACACUGAACACUGGUCCUUGAUGUGUAGGAUAGGUGGGAGGCUUUGAAGCGUGGACGCCAGUCUGCGUGGAGCCGCCCUUGAAAUACCACCCUUUAAUGGCUGGUGUUCUAACGUAGACCCGUGAUCCGGGUUGCGGACAGUGUCUGGUGGGUAGUUUGACUGGGGCGGUCUCCUCCCAAAGAGUAACGGAGGAGCACGAAGGUUGGCUAAUCCUGGUCGGACAUCAGGAGGUUAGUGCAAUGGCAUAAGCCAGCUUGACUGCGAGCGUGACGGCGCGAGCAGGUGCGAAAGCAGGUCAUAGUGAUCCGGUGGUUCUGAAUGGAAGGGCCAUCGCUCAACGGAUAAAAGGUACUCCGGGGAUAACAGGCUGAUACCGCCCAAGAGUUCAUAUCGACGGCGGUGUUUGGCACCUCGAUGUCGGCUCAUCACAUCCUGGGGCUGAAGUAGGUCCCAAGGGUAUGGCUGUUCGCCAUUUAAAGUGGUACGCGAGCUGGGUUUAGAACGUCGUGAGACAGUUCGGUCCCUAUCUGCCGUGGGCGCUGGAGAAUUGAGGGGGGCUGCUCCUAGUACGAGAGGACCGGAGUGGACGCAUCACUGGUGUUCGGGUUGUCAUGCCAAUGGCACUGCCCGGUAGCUAAAUGCGGAAGAGAUAAGUGCUGAAAGCAUCUAAGCACGAAACUUGCCCCGAGAUGAGUUCUCCCUGAGACCUUGAGUCUCCUGAAGGAACGUUGAAGACGACGACGUUGAUAGGUCGGGUGUGUAAGCGCAGCGAUGCGUUGAGCUAACCGAUACUAAUGAACCGUGAGGCUUAACCUU